AUGCCCUUUGAAUUGUGUUCUUGUCUUAAUAGAAGAUAUAUCGCAAACCUGAAUGAAGAAGAAAAAUCAUUUUAUCAUAAAGUUUGGCGAGACGAUCAAUUUUUCCUAAUAGCUCGUAUUUAUUUAACAUCUGCUUACAAAAUUAUGGAACAUAAUUACACAGUAACCUGCAAGCUCCAUGUCCAAGUGAGCCAUGUCGUACACAAUUUCAAUGUCAUGCAAUCUGCAGUAGCAUAUGAUGACAUAUCAGAGUAUAAUACACAUGCUUUAUUACAUUUGUAG